rnacentral:rRNA from 1 species
UACAGAGGUCUCAAGCGUUGUUCGGAUUCAUUGGGCGUGAAGGGUGCGUAGGCGGCGCGGUAAGUCGGGUGUGAAAUCUUGGAGCUUAACUCCGAAACUGCAUUCGAUACUGCCGUGCUUGAGGACUGGAGAGGAGACUGGAAUUUACGGUGUAGCGGUGAAAUGCGUAGAUAUCGUAAGGAAGACCAGUGGCGAAGGCGGGUCUCUGGACAGUUCCUGACGCUGAGGCACGAAGGCCAGGGGAGCAAACGGG